rnacentral:rRNA from 1 species
GACGAACGCUGGCGGCGUGCUUAACACAUGCCAGUCGAACGGAAAGGCCCUGCUUUUGUGGGGUGCUCGAGUGGCGAACGGGUGAGUAACACGUGAGUAACCUGCCCUUGACUUUGGGAUAACUUCAGGAAACUGGGGCUAAUACCGGAUAGGAGCUCCUGCUGCAUGGUGGGGGUUGGAAAGUUUCGGCGGUUGGGGAUGGACUCGCGGCUUAUCAGCUUGUUGGUGGGGUAGUGGCUUACCAAGGCUUUGACGGGUAGCCGGCCUGAGAGGGUGACCGGCCACAUUGGGACUGAGAUACGGACCAGACUCCUACGGGAGGCAGCAGUGGGGAAUAUUGCACAAUGGGCGGAAGCCUGAUGCAGCAACGCCGCGUGCGGGAUGACGGCCUUCGGGUUGUAAACCGCUUUCGCCUGUGACGAAGCAUGAGUGACGGUAAUGGGUAAAGAAGCACCGGCUAACUACGUG